AGGUGAUGAUGACGGUGAUGGUGAUGACAAUGACAAUGAUGACAGCAGCAAUUGGUGCUCCUAAGAGUUAAUAUUACCGAGCACAAAUUGUGUGAAGGUGAAGUGCAUUAACAUAUGGAGGAGUAUCUGUACUGAGAAGCACUGUGCAUCCUGCAGCUCUUACUCAAGGAUCUUCCAAGCGUAGCAUACCUAACAUGCAUAAUCCCAAGCAAGCUCAUGAACGAUGAGAUGUUGGGUACCUCAGAAGUACAGAGGAAUGUUUCCAUUGGCCUGGGGGUCUCACAGAGCUGCAUGCAUACCCCAGAGAAUUGUGGAGAAUUGGGUGUGUGCUUCAAGAACUGAGCCUCUGCUGGACCCUGUUAGACCAGGUGACUACAGUUGCAAAGUAGAGCUUGCUGAGACGUCGAUGGCAGGACAAUAGUGCUCUAUCACCCUUCAGUGGACAUUCCACAUGAACACACAAACCCAGCCAGGGAUCGAAUCCUGUGCACAAUAACAGACACAUGAUCAAGUGCUGAGAAACACAGACUAGAAGAAAAAAUGAACACCUUGAGCAAGAACCAUGAUAAACAUCUCAGCAAAUGUCCCUUACAGCUGAGUGCCAUUGGUACCCCUCGGACAGUGUGGCAGGUGUUGUAAGAAAUGGGUUCCUCCAAAAGACAGCUGAUUUUGAGGUUCUCUUGAGUCAAAGAGAAACGUUAUCCCCUGCUUCGUUUGCCAUUUGAGAA